rnacentral:rRNA from 1 species
UACGGAGGAUGCGAGCGUUAUCCGGAUUUAUUGGGUUUAAAGGGUGCGUAGGCGGGAUGCCAAGUCAGCGGUAAAAAUGCGGUGCUCAACGCCGUCGAGCCGUUGAAACUGGCGUUCUUGAGUGGGCGAGAAGUAUGCGGAAUGCGUGGUGUAGCGGUGAAAUGCAUAGAUGUCACGCAGAACUCCGAUUGCGAAGGCAGCAUACCGGCGCCCUACUGACGCUGAGGCACGAAAGCGUGGGUAUCGAACAGG